AAGUCGUAACAAGGUUUCCGUAGGCUGCGGAAGGAUCAUUAACACAUAUCCAACCCUGUGAACUUUCAGCGCUCUUGUAGCCAGCAAUCCUGGCAAAUCAACGGCGGAAAAGUUUUGAUUCGGGACCUCUGUCCAAAAGGUACGAGCUAGGAGCGCAGUGCAGAAGGAUCCACUGAGAAGAAUAACGCAUCACGGUUGCCAGAGGUCGAUCACCGGCCGGCAGACAUGUCACAGGGCUUUACGCCCCUUCAUUCACCCCUUGCCUAAUCAAAGCCCGCGGAAACGCCGGGCGAAAAAAUCUGAACAACUGUUAACAAUGGAUAUCUUGGUUCUC
rnacentral:misc_RNA from 1 species